rnacentral:lncRNA from 1 species
UUGAAUAAAUCUGUGAGAUUUUGAGCCAUAACUGUUUAUCAUACACAGUUUAUUCUUUGUUGUGAGUUUUGUCAUGCAUGUGGUGAUCUUCUAGAACUUGCCAUGGUUUCUGUGUCGAGGUUGCUGUUGUGCCCAGGAUUAUGAGAUGAUUUUAGGCCAUCUUUUGUUAGCCACAAUUUUUCCCAAACACUGUCCUUGAAAAAAAAAUUAUCCUUUGUUAUCCACUUUGAGCCAAUUUAGCUUUUAUUCUUUAGCCGGAUGAUAGGGGGUGAUGUAGUAUAUGGGGAUCUUUAUGUGGUGAAUAGUCAUAGUGGGUUGUGAAAAAGAAGGGAUGAUUUUGUGAUACUAUUUACUCUUAUGAGCUCUAGAACGUUGUGAAAAGAAAAAAAAAAUUGAAAAGAAAAGAAAAAAAAGAAAAAAAAAAAGAGAAAAGAAAAAGAAAAAGAAAGAAAAAAAAAGUGUGAAGUCGAGUAGUUUAUUGAGAUAUUUGUUAGAAAAUCGACUUUGUGUGUUGGAAAGAAAUGGAGAGCAUAAAAGAGUGUUUAGUUCUGUUUUGUG